CGCGGCCUAUCAGCUUGUUGGUGAGGUAAUGGCUCACCAAGGCGACGACGGGUAGCCGGCCUGAGAGGGUGACCAGCCACACUGGGACUGAGACACGGCCCAGACUCCUACGGGAGGCAGCAGUGGGGAAUAUUGCACAAUGGGCGAAAGCCUGAUGCAGCGACGCCGCGUGAGGGAUGACGGCCUUCGGGUUGUAAACCUCUUUCAGCAGGGAAGAAGCGAAAGUGACGGUACCUGCAGAAGAAGCGCCGGCUAACUACGUGCCAGCAGCCGCGGUAAUACGUAGGGCGCAAGCGUUGUCCGGAAUUAUUGGGCGUAAAGAGCUCGUAGGCGGUUUGUCGCGUCUGCCGUGAAAGUCCGGGGCUCAACUCCGGAUCUGCGGUGGGUACGGGCAGACUAGAGUGAUGUAGGGGAGACUGGAAUUCCUGGUGUAGCGGUGAAAUGCGCAGAUAUCAGGAGGAACACCGGUGGCGAAGGCGGUGGUCUGGGCCGGCACUGACGCUGAGGAGCGAAAGUGUGGGGAGCGAACAGGAUUAGAUACCCUGGUAGUCCACACCGUAAACGUUGGGCGCUAGGUGUGGGACACAUUCCACGUGUUCCGUGCCGCAGCUAACGCAUUAAGCGCCCCGCCUGGGGAGUACGG
rnacentral:rRNA from 1 species